UGGGGAAUCAUUGGACAAUGGGCGAAAGCCUGAUCCAGCCAUGCCGCGUGUGUGAAGAAGGCCUUUUGGUUGUAAAGCACUUUAAGUGGGGAGGAAAAGCUUAUGGUUAAUACCCAUAAGCCUUGACGUUACCCACAGAAUAAGCACCGGCUAACUCUGUGCCAGCAGCCGCGGUAAUACAGAGGGUGCAAGCGUUAAUCGGAAUUACUGGGCGUAAAGCGCGCGUAGGUGGUUAUUUAAGUCAGAUGUGAAAGCCCCGGGCUUAACCUGGGAACUGCAUCUGAUACUGGAUAACUAGAGUAGGUGAGAGGGGAGUAGAAUUCCAGGUGUAGCGGUGAAAUGCGUAGAGAUCUGGAGGAAUACCGAUGGCGAAGGCAGCUCCCUGGCAUCAUACUGACACUGAGGUGCGAAAGCGUGGGUAGCAAACAGGAUUAGAUACCCUGGUAGUCCACGCCGUAAACGAUGUCUACCAGUCGUUGGGUCUUUUAAAGACUUAGUGACGCAGUUAACGCAAUAAGUAGACCGCCUGGGGAGUACGGCCGCAAGGUUA
rnacentral:rRNA from 1 species